GUCACUCUCAGGUGACAGUGGGGGGGUCAGGGACACGUGGGGUGCAUUCGGGGGCUCGGGGCGGGACCCCCGGCGGGUGACGGCGCUGGGGCCGCAGGUGGAAGCCGCAGCUGCAGGAGCUGCUGAAGCUGCCGGCGUUCAUGCGCGUCUCCUCCACGGGGAACAUGCUGAGCCACGUGGGCCACACCAUCCUGGGCAUGAACACCGUGCAGCUCUACAUGAAAGUGCCCGGCAGCCGCACCCCCGGAGAACAACAACUUCUGCUCGGUGAACAUCAACAUCGGCCCCGGCGACUGCGAGUGGUUCGCGGUGCACGAGCACUACUGGGAGACCAUCUCGGCCUUCUGCGACAGGCACGGCGUGGACUACCUGACGGGCUCGUGGUGGCCCAUCCUGGAGGACCUGUACCGCUCCAACAUCCCGGUGUACCGGUUCGUGCAGCGCCCCGGAGACCUGGUGUGGAUCAACGCCGGCACCGUGCACUGGGUGCAGGCCACGGGCUGGUGCAACAACAUCGCCUGGAACGUGGGGCCGCUGACCGCAUACCAGUACCAGCUGGCCCUGGAGCGCUACGAGUGGAACGAGGUGAAGAACGUCAAGUCCAUCGUGCCCAUGAUCCACGUCUCCUGGAACGUGGCCAGGACCGUCAAGAUCAGCGACCCCGACCUCUACAAGAUGAUCAAGUGAGUGGGGACACCUGGGGACACCUGGGGACACCUGGGGACAUCUGGGGACACCUGGGACAGCUGGGGACAGCUGGGACAGCUGGGGACACCUGGGACAGCUGGGACAGCUGGGGACACCUGGGACAGCUGGAGACACCUGGGGACAUUUGGGGACACCUGGGGACAGCUGGGGACACCUGGGGACACCUGGGGACAUCUGGGGACACCUGGGACAGCUGGAGACACCUGGGGACACCUGGGGACACCUGGGACAGCUGGGGACACCUGGGGACAUCUGGGGACACCUGGGACAGCUGGGGACACCUGGGACAUGCGGGGACACCUGGGGACACCUGGGACAGCUGGGGACACCUGGGGACACCUGGGGACACACGGGGACACCUGGGACAGCUGGGGACACCUGGGACAGCUGGGGACACCUGGGACAUGCGGGGACACCUGGAGACACCUGGGGACACCUGGGACAGCUGGGGACACCUGGGGACACCUUGGGGACAGCUGGGGACACGCGGGGCAGGA
rnacentral:lncRNA from 1 species